CCUACGGGAGACUGCAGUGGGGAAUAUUGCACAAUGGGGGAAACCCUGAUGCAGCGACGCCGCGUGAGCGAUGAAGUAUUUCGGUAUGUAAAGCUCUAUCAGCAGGGAAGAAAAUGACGGUACCUGACUAAGAAGCCCCGGCUAACUACGUGCCAGCAGCCGCGGUAAUACGUAGGGGGCAAGCGUUAUCCGGAUUUACUGGGUGUAAAGGGAGCGUAGACGGCGGUGCAAGCCAGAUGUGAAAGCCCGGGGCUCAACCCCGGGACUGCAUUUGAAACUGUUCUGCUAGAGUGUCGGAGAGGCAGGCGGAAUUCCUAGUGUAGCGGUGAAAUGCGUAGAUAUUAGGAGGAACACCAGUGGCGAAGGCGGCUUGCUGGACGAUGACUGACGUUGAGGCUCGAAAGCGUGGGGAGCAAACAGGAUUAGAUACCCGUGUAGUC
rnacentral:rRNA from 1 species